rnacentral:rRNA from 1 species
AAAGCGUAUAUUAAAGUUGUUGCGGUUAAAAAGCUCGUAGUCGAACUUGUGUUUCGUGCCGUCGGUUCAUCGCUCGCGGUGUUAUACUGACGUGUCACGAAACGUCAUGCCGGUGGGCUGGCUCGCAAGGGCGGCCCCACCUUAUAACCCGUCGCGGUGCUCUUCAUUGAGUGUCGAGGCGGGCCGGCAAUUUUACUUUGAACAAAUUAGAGUGCUUAAAGCAGGCUAAAACUUUGCCUGAAUAUUAUGUGCAUGGAAUAAUGAAAUAGGACCUCGGUUCUAUUUUGUUGGUUUCCAGAACCCCGAGGUAAUGAUAAAUAGGAACGGAUGGGGGCAUUCGUAUUGCGACGUUAGAGGUGAAAUUCUUGGAUCGUCGCAAGACUGACAUAAG